rnacentral:rRNA from 1 species
UACGAAGGGGGCUAGCGUUGCUCGGAAUGACUGGGCGUAAAGGGCGCGUAGGCGGAUGGCACAGUCAGAUGUGAAAUUCCCGGGCUUAACCUGGGGGCUGCAUUUGAUACGUGUUGUCUUGAGUUCGGAAGAGGGUCGUGGAAUUCCCAGUGUAGAGGUGAAAUUCGUAGAUAUUAGGAGGAACACCGGUGGCGAAGGCGGCUAUCUGGGUGAACACUGACGCUGUUGCACGAAAGCGUGGGGAGCAAACAGG